GUACAAAACUAAACUAUAAAUCCAAAGAAAAAUCUACUAAAUAAUAUAUUUAAGAGAAAUUAGGAUAGAUAUACAUUUUCAAGACCAAUAUUAGGAAACUACCACACCCUUGUAUUUUGUACUGUAUAAUUUUAAUUAAUACUAUUCUAUCCCUAUUACUCAGGACCCUACCAAAUCCUGUAGAAAGAUUACAUAUGAUUCGAUUUAUCUCAACCACUCGAUAUACCAAAGAGAGAGAAAAGAUUAAACAUAGAUAUAUGAAAAGGGAAAUAUGAGAGAAGAAAGAAGAAACAAAGAAGCAUAUAAGAAGAAGACGGUAGACGCGGAAACGAAAACGAUGGUAAACGGUUCAUACGGCUGGGCGAUAUGCUUCCAACGGCGAUUCCAUCACCACGUUCUUCGCUUCCGGAUGAAUUCUUCUUCAAAGGUUGCAGUUAACUAAUAAUUGGUUGGUUAGAUGCUACAUGUUAGAUGAUUACAUGUUUGGUUAGCGGCUUCAAAGUAGGAUGCAUGUAAAAAGAAUACGAAAUGGACGGAGACUUUACAAGUUUCUGUGCUUAGAGGAAAGUGUGAGCCACACCACAUAUCAUACUGAUGAAGGGGAACAUCAGACACAUCGUUUCACUUUAGCUUGUUCGGACAGUAGUGGUUAACAUAAUAUUUAUGUUAGCUGGCAUUUGUUUAGUUACCCGCUUUUAUUUAUGUUAUAGAACACAUAUUCAUGUUUGUCUAAAAUGAUAAAUUCAUGUACUUUUAACUCACGGAUUAACUUACACCAAAGUUACACAUUUAACAAUACUUUUACCCGAUAAAAGAAAAUCUUAGACCAAUUCUUACACUUCUCUCUCAUCUCAAAUCUCAUCAGCAUAUAUAUACUAAAGAUUGUAGCAACAAAUUACUGAAUUAACAGUUAAAAUUAUGCCUUACUUUCAUGUUACCAAUAUAGCAUAAACUUUACUUUUUUCUCUCAACAGUUAACUGAAAUUAUAUAUAUACUCUGCUAAAUUGGCUAUGACAUUUUUAAAAGACUUUAUUUGUUGACAAAAAAAAAGAAUCGAUUUAUGUUACAUUGUUAGCAUAUAAUACGUAUACUUAACAACUAACAAUUACAGUUAAUAAUACAUUAAGAAUUACACUAAAUGUUUUGUAUACAACCACUACUUCGUACAUCUCUCUCUCUUCUGUCUAGUUUUCCUAACAUCUAACACUACUAAAAGCCGAAUACGCAGAGCAUACAGCGUGCCACGUCAGAUUUUUUAUUCAGGCCAAUGAAAAAGCUUUUAUUUGCCACAUAUACAUUCCUUUACGCAGCAUAAAAUUUACACGGGCUAUGGCCUGUUAAUAUUUUGUUGUAGCCAUAAGCCCAACUCUCUUUCUUCACCCAAUGACCGUCGAUAUCGUUUUGCCUCUUCCACUUCUCCAUGGUAUUGCCGAUUGAUUUCUGCAACUCUCUGUUUCGUUGAAGUUAUAACUAUUAAGUAUUUACUCUCAAUCAUCCAAUCCUUUAUUUAUUCAUAUCUUAAUUUCAGCUUAACCCACCUUCUUCAUCCCUUAUUCAAGUUCGUACAGCCUCUAGAAUACCUCUUCAAAUUCCUAUUGCUAUCUUCGUCUUUAAAAAUUCGUGCAAAUACUAUUGGAUCGACUGUGAUAUCAAAAGUAAGCCAAAAGACAUGGCAAGUUGCAUACAGUCUCAAUCAAUCUGUGCUGAAAUGCUCUGUGGAUGUCUUUUACAACAUGGUUUGCGUAACACUGAGAAUGUACUUGAUGUGUUCCAGCUUGCGCUGCUAUGUGGUUUCCCUCGGCUUAGCGUCAUAUCUCACCAUAUGAUCAUGAAACACUUCAAGCAGCUUUGUGCUACAGAAGCAUGGAUAUUUAUGCAGAGCCGUCCCUUUCUCGAGGAAAAAAAAACUUAAAAGGCUCUGUCAUCAUCGAAGAAAGUGGUGCUCGCGGGGUUCUUCAAAAGUGGAACAAGAUUGAGGCAAGGCUAAAAGCCACAUCUCAUUUUUGAGAACGAAGGUUUUAGCUUCCUGUCCAAAACACGUUUUGCUUAUUCUAUCAAAAUUGUAGAAAAAAUGACUCUCAAUUUGUUUGUGUAGUAUUAUAAUCCUGAUAAUGAGAAGGUGGAACCCACUGUUGCUACGAUUCUCAAAGGAAGUGAUAAUUUUUUUUGUUUAUGUUCAUUAGUAAGUAUCUGAUAGUAUAUAUUAUAUCCAUAAGAUGUAAAAUGAUUAGCCCACUGAUCGACCUAGACUGUUUUGUUUCUUAUAUUCUUAAGGGUCUUCCAUUUGAGCUAUAAUAACAUGCUUCUAAAUCAGUUGUGGAGUGAAAAUGGUAAUAUUAAGAAUCUUCUCAGCAAUUCUUUCUUUCAGCUUCAAGCUAAUCGUGCUAUUACUGAUAUACAGAAUCAAGUAAAACCCUUGAAAGAAGUGAGAGAAGUUAUGGUCAAAGCUUACCAGAAGGUUAGCUCCUGAGAGUUUCUAAAAUAUAUUGUCAGAAAUCUACUCUAAACAGCCAUUCUUCCAUCAUAUACGUGAACAAUUCUUCCUGAUAGUAGAAGACAAGAGGAUGCAAACUUCAACGUAGAUUUACCGACUGAUGUUAAUGGUGCUGAUAAAAAAAAAUUAAGGCAUGUGCCACUUAAGGAACUUGGUGAGCCCGUUGUCGUCUAUGUUCCUUUAUCUCAGGUCACAUGGGUGCUGUGUUUAUAUGGUCUACACAAUCUUAUGCUGCUUAUACUCCUUCGAUUCUACUCUUGAUGAUCUUAUUCUUAUAAUCAUGUGCAAAUUAAGAGUUUAAGUACAA